CCUCUCUCAGGGUCGCACCUGGGGAGUUUCUAGUACUCUACCAGUCUCGGCUAUGGGAGGAAGAGUCAAGUAGAGGCCUGUCCAUCCCUGUCCUAGCUUGGACAGUGGCUAGCGAGUGGAAGGCAAUCUGCUACAAGU